UCCGGCUUAUCACCGGCAGUUUUCUCAGAGUUCUCAGCAUUACCUGUUAGCAACAGAGAAUGAGGGUUGCGCUCGUUGCGGGACUUAACCCAACAUCUCACGACACGAGCUGACGACAGCCAUGCAGCACCUGUGCUCCUCCCACCCGAAGUGAAGAGACCCUUUUCGGGGUCUCAUAGAGGGCAUGUCAAGUCCUGGUAAGGUUCUUCGCGUUGCCUCGAAUUAAACCACAUGUUCCACCGCUUGUGCGGGUCCCCGUCAAUUUCUUUGAGUUUUAAUCUUGCGACCGUACUCCCCAGGCGGGGUGCUUAACGCGUUAGCUGCGCCACUGAGAGGUAUCCCCCCAACGGCUAGCACCCAUCGUUUACAGCGUGGACUAC
rnacentral:misc_RNA from 1 species